CCAUCUUAGACCAGGGAUAAACUACUUCAGGCUGGACCAAGGUUUGCGGAUUAAUUUAAGCUUAAUUGGUGACCUUGGGGACUGGUUAGAAGGUGUUCUAACCUGAGCGGGCUUGCGACGGACUUUCGGAUUAUCUCCGGCUGAUGCG